rnacentral:sRNA from 1 species
CGCGGAGGUAGCCCCGCUAAGAUCGCGACGUCCUGUCGCAACGCGGGACGCUGCACAUCCAUGUGCG